UCCCUGAGACCCUUAACCUGUGAGGUUAAAGGUCACAGGUUAGGUCCUCGGGAACA
ensembl:miRNA gmo-mir-125a-2 gmo-mir-125a-2